GACGAACGCUGGCGGCGUGCCUAAUACAUGCAAGUAGAACGCUGAAGGAGGAGCUUGCUUCUCUGGAUGAGUUGCGAACGGGUGAGUAACGCGUAGGUAACCUGCCUGGUAGCGGGGGAUAACUAUUGGAAACGAUAGCUAAUACCGCAUAAUAUUGACUAUUGCAUGAUAGUCAGUUGAAAGGUGCAACUGCACCACUACCAGAUGGACCUGCGUUGUACUAGCUAGUUGGUGGGGUAACGGCUCACCAAGGCGACGAUACAUAACCGACCUGAGAGGGUGAUCGGCCACACUGGGACUGAGACACGGCCCAGACUCCUACGGGAGGCAGCAGUAGGGAAUCUUCGGCAAUGGACGGAAGUCUGACCGAGCAACGCCGCGUGAGUGAAGAAGGUUUUCGGAUCGUAAAGCUCUGUUGUAAGAGAAGAACGAGUGUGAGAGUGGAAAGCUCACACUGUGACGGUAUCUUACCAGAAAGGGACGGCUAACUACGUG
rnacentral:rRNA from 1 species